rnacentral:tRNA from 1 species
GCUCCAUUAGCUCAGUUGGGAGAGCACUCGACUUUUAAUCGAGGAGUCAUGGGUUCAAGUCCCAUAUGGGGCA